rnacentral:sRNA from 1 species
CAGCCCUAGUAAGAUGUGCUCCGUGAGGC